UACGAAGGGGGCUAGCGUUGCUCGGAUUGACUGGGCGUAAAGGGCGCGUAGGCGGCGGACACAGUCAGACGUGAAAUUCCUGGGCUCAACCUGGGGGCUGCGUUUGAUACAUGUCUGCUUGAGUUCGGAAGAGGGUCGUGGAAUUCCCAGUGUAGAGGUGAAAUUCGUAGAUAUUGGGAAGAACACCGGUGGCGAAGGCGGCUCACUGGCUCAUUUCUGACGCUCAGGCGCGACAGCGUGGGGAUCAAACAGG
rnacentral:rRNA from 1 species